UUCCAAAUCUGCCUGAUCCUGGUCCAAUCCGAACCUACCAUUCGUUCUCCCUAACCUCUGCAAGAACCGAACCACAAGUGGUGAUGAACCUAAUCCAAUCUCCACCUCCAGCCCCUCUCUCUCGUUUUUUUCUUUUCCAUCAUCAUCGUCGUCAUCGUCAUCGUCAUCAUCAUCAUCAUCAACUUCUUCUUCUUCUUCUUCUCCUCCUCGUUCUGCCUUCUCUGUUUCUUCCUGAUUUCUGUUGCAACUCACAACAGCGGUGAUUUGCUUUCUCCCUAAUUGUCUCAAUUUUCUUCUCUCUCUAUGUCUCUCUCUUCCUUCCCUCUCUUUCCUUUUCCCUUUUGUUUUUUUCUUCUUCCCCUCGUUCAUCCCAUCAGCACCACUCAAAGAUCAUCAUUCACCCCUGUUCUUCAGUCGUGAAAAGGGGUAAACACAAUAAAGCUCAUUCAGCAUUUGUGCAAUUUUCAGCAAUUCAUCUCCAUUUUCCAGAACCUUUUUUGUUCGAUGACAGUAGCAUCAACUCCGGUCAUCACUUGUGAUUCCUCUAAUACAUUGAUGAUAAUUUGUCCUUUGUUGGCGCAUUAGAGGUUAGUUGCAAUGGUGAUUUAGGCUAUUCAGCUCCUCUGUUGAACCCGAAUAGCAUCCCCACACAAAGCAUGAUCGACCUCUCUCAUUCCUCUAGCGAUUACUUUGCAUCGAUCAUCAUUCGUUGUAGAUGAUAAGAACUCUCCUAUUUGCAGUAGUCGAUCUCAAUCUCAGGCCACAUUCAGUCAAGUAAGGCCUGUAAUUGUUCUUUUUUUAUGUCUAUCUUCUACACAUCAACUCCCUCUAACAAGCAUGCUUUUGUGAACUCCGAUUACGGCGAGGCCUUAACCUUCAUCCCUCUCUCUCUCAAUCAUAGUGAGAAGUCUCUUUUCUCUUCAGGAACUCUUCUUUACUCUAACAAGCUUGCUCUCGUGGACGCUAAUUCUGAUGAGGCCUUGACCUUCAACCAACUGAAAUCCACAGUUGCUCAUGGUUUGGUUCGCUUGGGCAUAAAUAAAGGUGAAAGCCAUUUUCUCUUCAACUCCUUUGAUUAACUUCAAUCCAUCAUUGUCUUUGAAAUCACCAAUGAAUCCGGCGAGGCCUUGACCUUCAACCAGCUCAAAUCCAUGGUUGCUCAUGGUUUGGUUCACUUGGGCAUAAAUAAAGGUGAAAGCCAUUUCUCUUCAACUCCUUCGAUUAACUCCAAACCAUCAUUGUCUCUUGCUCAUGGUUUGGUUCACUUGGGCAUAAAUAAAGGCGAAGGCCAUUUCUCUUCAACUCCUUCGAUUAACUCCAAACCAUCAUUGUCUCUGAAAUCACCAAUGGCAACAAUGUCGUCUCUGCUGCGGAUGUGGCUCUCUUUCGCUCUCAAAUCACUCUAGAUUAUCACUGUCUCUGACCUCACCAAGGGCAAGAAAUCCAUCUUAUUCAUCAUCCCUAGAGCUUUCACUAUGAGUUGUUCUCAGAAACACCUCCCUCGCGUUGUUAAGAAGUUUACCGAGUUGAAGGCCAAUUCUGAAGAGAGUUUGUUCUGUUCAUGACUUUUUUUUUCUUGUUGUUUGAUCUGAAUUCUAGGUAAUGUUCCAUUUAUUGCUUGCCCUCUUGGUUUUUAGUUUUCUUUUUAUUGAGUUUUGUCUUGCAGGGUUCGUCUAGGUUUGGAAUUUCAAGUUACGUUCCAUUUAUUGCAAGCCCUCUUGGUCUAGCUCUGGGUUCCUGGUUGCCGAGACUGUUGAUCGAUGGCCCAUAUGGAGCCCCGACACAGGACUACAAAGAAUAUGAUGUCCUGCUCCUUGUUGGGCUGGGGAUUGGAGCCACACCACUGACCAGCAUAGUUAAAGACGUUAUGAACAAAAUCAAGCAACAGAACGGUGUUGAGGAAGGUGUUGUAGAAGCUGGAUCCAAGGCCAGCAAGAAGAAACCUUUUGCCACGAAACGACCCUACUUCUAAUGGGUCACCUGUGAGCAGGGCUCAUUUGAGUGGUUCGGGGGAGUACUGAAUGAGGUUGUAGAGUACGACCGAGAUGGGGUCAUCGAGCUUCACAACUACUGCACCAGUGUCUACGAGGAAGGUGAUGCUCGAUCGACGCUCAUUGCCAUGCUCCAAUCGCUCCACCACGCCAAGAGCGGAGUAGAUAUUGUGUCCGGGACACGGGUGAAGACCCACUUUGCUAGGCCAAACUGGCGGAACAUUUUCAAGCACGUCGCCGUUAACCGCAUUGAUCAGCGCAUUGAUAAGCAACUAAAUAGCUCCCUUCCGUCGUCUGAACUCUAAACACAGAACAGUUCCAUUCAUGAUCACUGAGCUUUCUUAGAACCAACUAACGAUGRGUUAAUUUUAACUUGUUGCAGGGGUGUCCUACUGUCGGGCUCCUGGAUUGAUGGGUGAGUUACGACAGUUAGCGUAGGACUUCUCUAGGAAGACGACGACCAAGUUUGAUUUCCACAAGGAGAAUUUUUGAGUUCAGAGCUUGCACAGGAUCACUAGCUAUAUACCUAAUACAUAAUAUUGUAGUGCAUAUACCACAAAGUGUGAUAUUUUUCUUUUGAUUGUUUUUUAUUUGAUUUAUUAGUUAGACACUUGUAAUUUGUAAGCAGUUAUGGUUUCAUAAUGAUACAUAUAAAAUUUGUAUUUCUUUUGGGAAUUAUAUGUUUAAUAACUUUGUAACA